rnacentral:rRNA from 1 species
CAGUCGAGCGACAGAUAAAGGAGCUUGCUCCUUUGACGUUAGCGGCGGACGGGUGAGUAACACGUGGAUAACCUACCUAUAAGACUGGGAUAACUUCGGGAAACCGGAGCUAAUACCGGAUAACAUAUUGAACCGCAUGGUUCAAUAGUGAAAGGCGGCUUUGCUGUCACUUAUAGAUGGAUCCGCGCCGUAUUAGCUAGUUGGUAAGGUGACGGCUUACCAAGGCAACGAUACGUAGCCGACCUGAGAGGGUGAUCGGCCACACUGGAACUGAGACACGGUCCAGACUCCUACGGGAGGCAGCAGUAGGGAAUCUUCCGCAAUGGGCGAAAGCCUGACGGAGCAACGCCGCGUGAGUGAUGAAGGUCUUCGGAUCGUAAAACUCUGUUAUCAGGGAAGAACAAAUGUGUAAGUAACUGUGCACAUCUUGACGGUACCUGAUCAGAAAGCCACGGCUAACUACGUGCCAGCAGCCGCGGUAAUACGUAGGUGGCAAGCGUUAUCCGGAAUUAUUGGGCGUAAAGCGCGCGUAGGCGGUUUUUUAAGUCUGAUGUGAAAGCCCACGGCUCAACCGUGGAGGGUCAUUGGAAACUGGAAAACUUGAGUGCAGAAGAGGAAAGUGGAAUUCCAUGUGUAGCGGUGAAAUGCGCAGAGAUAUGGAGGAACACCAGUGGCGAAAGCGACUUUCUGGUCUGUAACUGACGCUGAUGUGCGAAAGCGUGGGGAUCAAACAGGAUUAGAUACCCUGGUAGUCCACGCCGUAACGAUGAGUGCUAAGUGUUAGGGGUUUCCGCCCCUUAGUGCUGCAGCUAACGCAUUAAGCACUCGCUGGGGAGUACGACGCAAAGUUGAAACUCAAAGAAUGACGGGGAUCCCGCCACAAGCGGUUG